UAUAGUUGGAUCCUGGCUCAUGAUGAACGCUAUCUACAGGCUUAACACAUGCAAGUCUACGGGCACCAUUAGGUAGCAAUACUGAUGUGGCGACCGGCGCACGGGUGCGUAACGCGUAUCCAACCUUCCCGUUACUCUUGGAUACCCUUCCGAAAGGGAGAUUAAUACAAUAUGGUAUUCAAAUUCCGCAUGUUAUAUGAAUUAAAGAUUCAUCGGUAACGGAUGGGGAUGCGUGACAUUACAUAAUAGGCGGGGUAACGGCCCACCUAUUCUACGAUGUCUAGGGGUUCUGAGAGGAAGGUCCCCCACACUGGAACUGAGACACGGUCCAAACUCCUACAGGAGGCAGCAUUGAGGAAUAUUGGUCAAUGGUCGGAACACUGAACCAUCCAAGUAACGUGAACGAUGAAUGUUCUAUGGGUUGUAUACUUCUAUUAUACAGGAAUAACACUCCCACUUGUGGGAGCUUGUAUGUACCGUAUGAAUAACCAUCGGCUAACUCCGCGCCAGCAGCCGUAGUAAUACGGACGAUGCGAGCGUUAUCCGGAUAUAUCGGGUUUCAAGGGAGCGUAGACAGCAUGUGAAAUCACAGUGAAUCGCUGCUGCUCAACGCAGCACACGCACUAGAUCUGGCGUCCUUGAGUGCGGUUGAGGUAUGUGGAAUUCGUGGUGUAGCGGUGAAAUGCUUAGAUAUCACGAAGAACUCCGAUGNCGAAGGCAGCAUACUAAGCCGCUACUGACGUUGAGGCUCGAAAGUGUGGGUAUCAAACAGGAUUAGAUACCCUGGUAGUCCACACGGUAAACGAUGAAUACUCGCUGUUGGCGAUAUACGGUCAGCGGCCAAGCGAAAGCAUUAAGUAUUCCACCUGGGGAGUACGCCGGCAACGGUGAAACUCAAAGGAAUUGACGGGGGCCCGCACAAGCGGAGGAACAUGUGGUUUAAUUCGAUGAUACGCGAGGAACCUUACCCGGGCUUAAAUUGCGCUGGACAGAUUGGGAGACCAAUCCUUCUUCGGACCAGUGUGAAGGUGCUGCAUGGUUGUCGUCAGCUCGUGCCGUGAGGUGUCGGCUUAAGUGCCAUAACGAGCGCAACCCUUGCCAUUAGUUACCAACAGGUUAUGCUGAGGACUCUAGUGGGACUGCCAUCGUAAGAUGUGAGGAAGGUGGGGAUGACGUCAAAUCAGCACGGCCCUUACGUCCGGGGCUACACACGUGUUACAAUGGGAGGUACAGAAGGCUGCUACCCGGCGACGGGAUGCCAAUCCCCAAAACCUCUCUCAGUUCGGAUUGGAGUCUGCAACCCGACUCCAUGAAGCUGGAUUCGCUAGUAAUCGCGCAUCAGCCACGGCGCGGUGAAUACGUUCCCGGGCCUUGUACACACCGCCCGUCA
rnacentral:rRNA from 1 species